GGAUGGGGUUACUCCCCUCGCAAAAAAUAUAGUCAAACUAGCCACUCAUGUUGAGAGGAGGCUUACAAUGGGGAAGAGAGGAUAUGAGAGGGUCAAAGAAAUGUUUUUGGAACAUCACAUGGCACACAGAAUUGCUGCAGUGCUGAAAGAAGUGCUGCAGAAAUCUAAAGGCCAUCCACAUCCAUGACAUUUUGAACAUCACCUUUUUACCUUUCAAUGCAGGACAUGGUUGUCUACCAAGCGCAAGCAGCAUUGCAAGGCUACUCCGUCCAAAAAUCAACAACCUAAAGAGGUGAGCAACUAAUAGUCUCCAAUGAUAGAAAUCUGUAAUUGUGGCUAAAGUCUUUUCUCUGUUGUCCUUUACCCCGUCG
rnacentral:misc_RNA from 1 species